rnacentral:rRNA from 1 species
UACAGGGGGUGCAAACGUUGCUCGGAAUUAUUGGGCGUAAAGCGCGCGUAGGCGGCCACUUAAGUCGGAUGUGAAAGCCCCUGGCUCAACUGGGGAAGUGCACCCGAAACUGAAUGGCUUGAGUGCGAAAGAGGGUCGCGGAAUUCCCGGUGUAGAGGUGAAAUUCGUAGAUAUCGGGAGGAACACCGGUGGCGAAGGCGGCGACCUGGGUCGACACUGACGCUGAGGCGCGAAAGCCAGGGGAGCGAACGGG